GAAGGUGUAGCUUAGUGGUAGAGCACCUGCCUAGCAUGUAUGAGGCCCUGGGCUCCAUCCCCAGCACCAUGA
rnacentral:tRNA from 1 species